CUACAGUCGGUGCGGGCGCAGUUUCCUCCCUAAGUUCCGCCCCGAGCGCGCCGGCUCCGCCCCGCGCCCUUCUAGCUCCCGCCGGCCCCCAGCUGCUAGCCCCCUACUCGGCGGGGCCUCCCCCUGGGAGCCCCCCCAGUUCCCGGCUUGCGCUGGUGCGGCCUCUUCGUCACCAGUGCUUGGGGCCUCCUGGUCAGGAUUCCUCCCAGGUGCUGCGGAUGGAGGCGUGGGGUAGCCUUGGAACCCCGUAGACUAUUUUCGAAUCCCAGCUCUGCCAGUAAAUAGCCUGUGACUUUGAGUAAGUGUUUUUAACCACCUUAAAGACGUUUCCUCUUCUGUAAAAUGGAAACACAAACUGUAGUGCC
rnacentral:lncRNA from 1 species